GGCGAGUGAGCGGCAAAAGCUCAAAUUUGAAAUCUAGCACCUUCGGUGUUCGAGUUGUAAUUUGAAGAUGGUAACCUUGGGUUUGGCUCUUGUCUAUGUUCCUUGGAACAGGACGUCAUAGAGGGUGAGAAUCCCGUCUGAUGAGAUGCCCAUUCCUAUGUAAGGUGCUAUCGAAGAGUCGAGUUGUUUGGGAAUGCAGCUCUAAGUGGGUGGUAAAUUCCAUCUAAAGCUAAAUAUUGGCGAGAGACCGAUAGCGAACAAGUACAGUGAUGGAAAGAUGAAAAGAACUUUGAAAAGAGAGUGAAAAAGUACGUGAAAUUGUUGAAAGGGAAGGGCAUUAGAUCAGACUUGGUGUUUUACGAUUAUCUUCUCUUCUUGAGUUGUGCACUCGUAUUUCACUGGGCCAGCAUCGAUUCGGAUGGCAAGAUAAUGGCAGUUGAAUGUGGCUUCACUUCGGUGGAGUGUUAUAGCUUCUGCUGAUAUUGCCUGUCUGGAUCGAGGGCUGCGUCUUUUGACUAGGAUGCUGGCGUAAUGAUCUAAUGCCGCCCGUCU
rnacentral:rRNA from 1 species